AUACGGAGGGGGCAAGCGUUAUUCGGAAUUAUUGGGCGUAAAGGGCGCGCAGGCGGCCUGGUAAGUCAACGGUGAAAUCCCUCGGCCCAACCGAGGAACUGCCUUUGAAACUGCCUAGCUUGAGGCCGGGAGAGGGUGGUGGAAUUCCCAGUGUAGCGGUGAAAUGCGUAGAUAUUGGGAGGAACACCAGUGGCGAAGGCGACCACCUGGACCGGUUCUGACGCUGAGGCGCGAAAGCGUGGGGAGCAAACAGGAUUAGAUACCCCAGUAGUCC
rnacentral:rRNA from 1 species